AAUAAUUAUUUCUUCUUUUUUUCUAGGAAUCAUUCACUUGAUGUAAAGGUUUUACUGAGACAGUGCACAGCCCUAAUCUUUGGGAGGGCAGAGAACUGUACUGAACGCUGGAUGAUUACCCUAGAGAGUCGUGUUGUUUGUGAGGGCAUACAACCAAGAUUCCUGACUGCAAUAGCAACCAUGUUUGCAAUGUUCUACAUCUUCAAUCUUAAGUAUCCAGAGGAGGCAUGUGGCACCUUGGAAUUCAUUCAAAGACGAUUCGUUGGGAUAAACCCUGAAAGAGGUACGAAGACCUGCAGAGGCAAGGUGGUUUCAAAGAAGACUGGAAAACUUGUCAGCAAGAAGUCUGCCACUGUCAAUCCCAAAGUUGCUUCUCUCCUGAAGAACCUCAUCGAUUUCGAAUGGAACUUCGUCUAGAUCUGGAUUUCCUCUCAGACCAGAUGUGUUAAAAGCUGAGGUGGGACGUUUUGCCAGUUUUUUUGCCUCUUCCUACGUUUUUUUCACCAAUUGGUUCUCUUGUCCUCUCAGAUCGGGAUUUCCUCUCAGGCCAGAUGUGUCAAAAGCUGAGGUGGGACGUGUUGGCUGUUUUUUGCCUCUUCCUACAGUUUUUUCACCCAUUGGAUCUCUUGUCCUCUCAGAUCCGGACUUCCUCUCAGGCCAGAUCUUUUGGCAGUUUUUUGCCUCUGUCAAGGAUUUUUCAUCCAUUGGUUCCUUAAUAUUUUCCUCUCAGACUCAGAAUUCCUCUCUUGCCUGGAUGCUGAUGUGACAUGUUGAAUGUAAGGUUUCUUUGUUUGCCUACUGUUUCCUCACAUUUUACAAUGUAUUUUCUGUGACU